rnacentral:miRNA from 1 species
AGGGUGACAGCUGUCCUGGUUUGCCUGGCACUGAGGGCUUCCCGGGAUGUAGUAUUUUUAGUGCUA